rnacentral:rRNA from 1 species
GAUUAAGUUAUUAAGGGCGCACGGUGGAUGCCUUGGCACUAGAAGCCGAUGAAGGACGUUACUAACGACGAUAUGCUUUGGGGAGCUGUAAGUAAGCUUUGAUCCAGAGAUUUCCGAAUGGGGAAACCCAGCAUGAGUUAUGUCAUGUUAUCGAUAUGUGAAUACAUAGCAUAUCAGAAGGCACACCCGGAGAACUGAAACAUCUUAGUACCCGGAGGAAGAGAAAGAAAAUUCGAUUCCCUUAGUAGCGGCGAGCGAAACGGGAAGAGCCCAAACCAACAAGCUUGCUUGUUGGGGUUGUAGGACACUCUAUACGGAGUUACAAAGGACGACAUUAGACGAAUCAUCUGGAAAGAUGAAUCAAAGAAGGUAAUAAUCCUGUAGUCGAAAAUGUUGUCUCUCUUGAGUGGAUCCUGAGUACGACGGAGCACGUGAAAUUCCGUCGGAAUCUGGGAGGACCAUCUCCUAAGGCUAAAUACUCUCUAGUGACCGAUAGUGAACCAGUACCGUGAGGGAAAGGUGAAAAGCACCCCGGAAGGGGAGUGAAAUAGAACCUGAAACCGUGUGCUUACAAGUAGUCAGAGCCCGUUAAUGGGUGAUGGCGUGCCUUUUGUAGAAUGAACCGGCGAGUUACGAUUUGAUGCAAGGUUAAGCAGUAAAUGUGGAGCCGUAGCGAAAGC